GAUGAACGCUAGCGGCGUGGAUGCUGGCAUGCAAGUCAAACGGCCCGCAAGGGCAGUGGCGAACGGGUUAGUAACACGUAGAUACCAACCGUAAACUCAGGCAUAACUUAUCGAAAGAUAAGCUAAUUCCUGAUAGUCCCGCAAGGGUAAAGGCGCAAGCCGGUUUAUGAUGGGUCUGCGGCCUAUCAGCUAGUUGGCGGGGUAACGGCCCACCAAGGCGAUGACGGGUAGGGGGCAUGAGAGUGUGUUCCCCAACAAUGGAACUGCGACACGGUCCAUACUCCUACGGGAGGCAGCAGUGGGGAAUAUUGGACAAUGGGCGCAAGCCUGAUCCGGCCAUGCCGCGUGAGUGAUGAAGGCCUUAGGGUUGUAAAGCUCUUUCACCGGAGAAGAUAAUGACGGUAUCCGGAGAAGAAGCCCCGGCUAACUUCGUGCCAGCCGCCGCCGUAA
rnacentral:rRNA from 1 species